rnacentral:rRNA from 1 species
AGUGAACGCUGGCGGUAGGCCUAACACAUGCAAGUCGAACGGCAGCACAGUAAGAGCUUGCUCUUACGGGUGGCGAGUGGCGGACGGGUGAGGAAUACAUCGGAAUCUACUUUUUCGUGGGGGAUAACGUAGGGAAACUUACGCUAAUACCGCAUACGACCUACGGGUGAAAGCAGGGGAUCUUCGGACCUUGCGCGAUUGAACGAGCCGAUGUCGGAUUAGCUAGUUGGCGGGGUAAAGGCCCACCAAGGCGACGAACCGUAGCUGGUCUGAGAGGAUGAUCAGCCACACUGGAACUGAGACACGGUCCAGACUCCUACGGGAGGCAGCAGUGGGGAAUAUUGGACAAUGGGCGCAAGCCUGAUCCAGCCAUACCGCGUGGGUGAAGAAGGCCUUCGGGUUGUAAAGCCCUUUUGUUGGGAAAGAAAAGCAGCAGGUUAAUACCCCGCUGUUCUGACGGUACCCAAAGAAUAAGCACCGGCUAACUUCGUG